CCCUGCCAUUUGUACACACCGCCCGUCGCUCCUACCGAUUGGGUGAUGCGGUGAGCCUUUCGGACGGGCGCUUCGGCGCCUGAAAGUUAUGCAAAUCUCAUCACUUAGAGGAAGGAGAAGUCGUAACA
rnacentral:rRNA from 1 species